AAUGAACGUUGGCGGCGUGGAUUAGGCAUGCAAGUCGAGCGAGAACCGGAGCAAUCCGGGGAAAGCGGCAAACGGGGUAGUAAUGUGUCGGUACGUGCCCUCAGGUCGGGGAUAGCCAGGGGAAACGUCUGAUUAAUACCCGAUGAUCUCGAGAGAGCAAAGGUCCGCUGCCGGAGGAGCGGCCGACAUGGUAUCAGGUAGUUGGUGAGGUAACGGCUCACCAAGCCUUAGACGCCUAGGGGGCGUGAGAGCGCCGACCCC
rnacentral:rRNA from 1 species